rnacentral:rRNA from 1 species
UACAGAGGUCCCAAGCGUUGUUCGGAUUCAUUGGGCGUAAAGGGUGCGUUAGGCGGCGCGGUAAGUCGGGUGUGAAAUCUCGGGGCUUAACUCCGAAACAUGCAUUCGAUACUGCCGUGCUUGAGGAACUGGAGAGGACGUACUGGAAUUUACGGUGGUAGCGGUGAAAUGCGUAGAUAUCGAUAAGGAAGACCAGUGGCGAAGGCGGGUCUCUGGACAGUUCCUGACGCUGAGGCACGAAGGUCAGGGGAGCAAACGGGA